rnacentral:lncRNA from 1 species
AGCCGGCGUCCGCAGCGGCUGCGCAUCUCGCGCCUCCCGCGGGGCGCUCGGGGGGCGGCGAGGCAGGUUGCGCAGUCCCCCGGGAGGGAGGCGGCCGCGGGAGAGGAACGGCAAAUGACAGAGCAGAGGGAUGGCUGGCCCAGCCAAUCCUGGAGCUGCUGCAGCACUUGUUCACCAAACACACACAUUCUGGUGCAAGGACAGAGAGGAGGGGGCUACUGGCUCACACUCCCUCCCCCACACAUGGCUCCCUUGCUGUUCCCCUGUGGGAAGGGCAGCCUGGCCACCUUAGGCUGCAUGGACAGAGGCUGCCAUGGGCCAGGGUGGUGAUGGUGCUGCGGCCCCUCCCUGCUGCCCAGCGUGGGAAGAAGAAUGCAGAGCCAGGACAAGCUUCAAGGAUCUUCCCAUGUGACCUCACUACCUGGAUUCCUUAGUCAUGAUGUCAGAGAGUGAAGAUGUGAGCAGAACUUUAUGAUGUGGGAAAAGAAGAGGUGUGGUGGGAGAGGUGGCAGAGGAGACUGGCAGGGCAGAAGCCAAGGUAAGUCCAGGCCACCUGGGAGAUGUGCAGAUGCUCUCCUGGGUUUGAUGUCCUCUUCCCCUGGUCACUUGUCAGUGUUGUUCUCCUGCCCCCAAAACAGUCACUCAAUUUCCAUGCGUUGAAGUGAGACCAAAUAUUUUGGGAUGGGCCCAAGCCAAACUGUUAGGAAGGUUAUUCUUCUUAGGGGAGUAAAUAUAAAUGAUGUUGGGGUUACCUUUUUAAACAUUUUUUUAUUUUGAGUUUUCGGUCUCCCUUUGUUGAUUGAAAUCACCAGGGAAUGGAUUAUAUGGCAGAUCCUGAUGUUUUGGAGCUCAGGUUGACUGCUUUCCUUAUUCUCAUGUAAAGGUCUAAGAUGAUGAUGGUGGGCUCAGGAACCAAGUUCUAGAUUACUGCUAUCUUAGCUGGCAACUAGGGCAGUCAACCAAAAGCCUUCGAAGUCCUGUUCAGUGAUGGUAAACAUUUGAAUGGAAUGAAUAGAUGAGUGUGUGUAUAUUUAGAAAGUCACGCCCAACAGAGAAAGAACCUCCGGGCAAGCCUGGCUUGCUCAUCCCAGCCGCAGGUCUGAGCACACCCAGGGUCACAUCCUCUUAUUCCACGAUGGGCUGAAGUCACUUCCUUAUGUACCCAAGGCUGCCCACACCCAGCCACUAUUUCCUGCACUAGGUCAGGAAGUGCAGAUCACCCCUCUCGUAACCUUUUGGUAGCUCAUGGUCAUCUACCAGCCUUCUGUGUUCUUUUGCCUCUGUCCCUGAGCCUCCUUAGAAUUUAGCUACCAUCUUGCUUCCAAAUCCUGAGCUUGUCUUUGAGUCUUUGCUUCCAGGCCCAGAGUUACUUUAGUGCUCUGGCAGCCACUGGAAAUUUAAGCCCCGGUUUACUGAUUUGGAGCUGUGUCGUCU